UACGGGGGGAGCAAGCGUUGUUCGGAUUUACUGGGCGUAAAGCGUGCGCAGGCGGUUUUGUAAGCCAGAUGUGAAAUCCCCGGGCUUAACCUGGGAAUGGCAUUUGGGACUGCAAGGCUGGAGUGUGGCAGAGGAGACUGGAAUUCCUGGUGUAGCAGUGAAAUGCGUAGAUAUCAGGAGGAAUACCGAUGGCGAAGGCAGGUCUCUGGGCUGACACUGACGCUCAUGCACGAAAGCGUGGGGAGCAAACAGG
rnacentral:rRNA from 1 species